UUCCAAUGAGCAGCACUCAGAGUCCUUGCUCCCCGCUGAAGAUCUGUAUCUAGAGAGGAGCAUGCCGUGGUCCCUGGCAACACCCCUGAUCUCAGCCCUUCCCUGUAACUUCCCACAGCCUCAAUCCUGGUCCUCUGGAUGCUCCAAGGCUCCCAGGCAGCUCUCUACAUCCAGAAGAUUCCAGAGCAGCCUCAAAAGAACCAGGACCUUCUCCUGUCAGUCCAGGGUGUCCCAGACACCUUCCAGGACUUCAACUGGUACCUGGGGGAGGAGACGUAUGGAGGCACGAGGCUAUUUACCUACAUCCCUGGGAUACAACGGCCUCAGAGGGAUGGCAGUGCCAUGGGACAGCGAGACAUCGUGGGCUUCCCCAAUGGUUCCAUGCUGCUGCGCCGCGCCCAGCCUACAGACAGUGGCACCUACCAAGUAGCCAUUACCAUCAACUCUGAAUGGACUAUGAAGGCCAAGACUGAGGUCCAGGUAGCUGAUUGAAAAAUGGAGGCACGCAGUGGUUAUGACUUGCUGAGUAAAGAAUACGAACCAGAAUGAUGUGACAUGGGAAAGGAGGUCAUCAGGGAGACCUCACUCAAGAAGUGACCUUAGAGGAGAGACCAGAAGAAGAAAAGAAUAAGGAGCUGCCCAGUACACACCUGCCCACCAACGCUGGGAUCCUGGCGGCCACCAUCAUUGGAUCUCUUGCUGCCGGGGCCCUUCUCAUCAGCUGCAUUGCCUAUCUCCUGGUAACAAGGAACUGGAGGGGCCAGAGCCACAGACUGCCUGCUCCGGGGGGCCAGGGAUCUCUGUCCAUCUUGUGCUCGGCUGUAUCCCCAGUGCCUUCAGUGACGCCCAGCACAUGGAUGGCGACCACAGAGAAGCCAGAAUUGGGCCCUGCUCAUGAUGCUGGUGACAACAACAUCUAUGAAGUGAUGCCCUCUCCGGUCCUCCUGGUGUCCCCCAUCAGUGACACAAGGUCCAUAAACCCAGCCCGGCCCCUGCCCACACCCCCACACCUGCAGGCGGGGCCAGAGAACCACCAGUACCAGGACCUGCUAAACCCCGACCCUGCCCCCUACUGCCAGCUGGUGCCAACUUCCUGAUGGGUCCUGGGCCAGGCCAGCCAGGGAGAAGACAAGGCCCCAGCCCUCCUCUGGGAGCCUCACACCUGAGACCAGCAGGACAAGGCCAUCGGGGGCUGUGGGGCCGAUGGGGUGGACUCAGCCAAAGACUCAGCAGCACAUGGGGCAGGUGUCCUGGCAGGGGGACAGGAGACUGUAACAGGCCCAGGUCCCUGUGCAGCCCCUGAAUGCACGCCCACCUUCGGUCUGUUCCUUCAAGCAAGCUGGCCUGGGCCAUGUGCAUGUGAAAGGCAGGCUCUGGCCCCUUUCCAUGCCAAAGUCCCCCAAGAUCUGGAUAUCUGGGGACAAGAUGGUGGCCUCAGGCCUGCCUCCCAGGCAGUUGGCUGGGCUCCCAAAUGUCUGUCCUCAAUGCCCUACCCCAACUCCACUAGUGACCCUCAGAGUCUUCUCCCCUUAGGACAAGGCAGACACCCCACCAUGCGGGCCUCAGGUGGCAGAGAGGCCCAGCCUCACAGGCCUGUGGCCCCACACACCAGUCCCAGCAAGGUGACCACGGCUGCCGGACCCCUUCCCUGUUCAGGCAGGCCCAGCCCCUCUCAGAACCCGCUGCCAGCUGCUGGUCUUGGCCCCCACCCUGAAUCUCACUGAGUCCCUCUGGGCAGCAGCUCCCUUCUCCACCCCACCCCAGCCCGCAUCCCAAAUGUGGCCUCAGCUUGUCCUCCCCUUCCCCAAACUAUGCAUUCAUUUAGCAAUAAAUGAGCCUUUGCUGUAUGCCAGACCCAGUUCUAAGCUCUUGCAGCCCUGGUAGAAAGCAAAACAAAAACUCCCGCUUUCCCAGAGGGUCACUUGGCAGGGGAAAGAAUCAGGAAAUAAAAUAAAUAAUGAA
rnacentral:sRNA from 1 species